CUGCUUGGACCAAAGUGUUGCCCCUGACAUGAAUCACUCUACUUGCUUGACUUGGCAUCUCUUGAAGACUAAUCAGAAGGUCUUUCUUUGGAUCAGAGUCGUCACUCCUACUUUUUUCACUAUACACCCCGCAGAGGGCGUAAAGAGAGUUUUUUCAAUUAAAGGACAAUCGGAACAGGAUUUAGUUAUUUAUUAUUCAGAGUCGCCACUUGGGAUAUUAAUGGUGUCCCAAGUCACCGGUUGAAUCCCGAACCGAGAAAAAAUAUGACUCUCUUACAGUCUGCGAACCAGAAAUCUGAGUAAGGAAUUCUGCUAACCCGGGAGAAGGUGUUAGGCAUUCUCGGGUUCCGUGGUUCUAGCACGAUCACUUAACUGU
rnacentral:lncRNA from 1 species